rnacentral:misc_RNA from 1 species
AAGUCGUAACAAGGUUUCCGUAGGUGAACCUGCGGAAGGAUCAUUAAUGAACUUGUGGUUGUUGCUGGCUAGUGUCUCUAGCAUGUGCACACGCACCUUCAUCCCAUUUACACCUGUGCACCUUUUGUAGUAGUGUUUUGAAAGGGGGGAAGUUAACUCUCUCUUCUGGAUCUCCUACUACGUUUUUUACACACACACACAAAUAGUCGUUGAAUGUCAUUUGAUUUUAUAUUGAAAAAACAACUUUCAACAACGGAUCUCUUGGCUCUC